rnacentral:lncRNA from 12 species
GGCGUGAUUAGAUCUGAGCUCUCCAAAGUCCUCUCUGAUGAGGAAACAACCGAAGCAAAGGGUUUGAACAAGCCAUUCACAGGGCGUGCAUUGAGAGGUGGUGGUGGUGGAUGACAAAUGACCAGGAAACAUUGCAAAUCCUUUGGAAAACGGAAAAUCCCUGGAAGAGAAUCAAGGGACUCCUGUGAAGUGGACUUUAUACUAUUCAUGUUGAAACAUGAAACUGUAAGCAGAGAGCCUAGAGAGGUGGACACCUCAACAAUUCCAAUGCAACAAUAAUUAGCUCUCACCGCGCGUUACUUUCUGGGCACUUUUCAUACAUUAGCUCCUAGAAUUCAUGCAACGAUUUCAUGAUAUAAAUUCUGUUUUACCUCCAACUUACAGGUAAAGGUAAUGCACACAGAAGCAUUAGGUGGAUCUACUCACUUCAUUUAACUAGUAGUUGGCCAAAGGAGCUCUGGAAUUUCUCCAGGUUGGCUCCAGGGCCGGCAGCUCUUAAACGCAGCCUUGCUCUGCCUCCUGGUGGUUGAGUGUGGAAAGUGCAACAGUAGAGUUGUGUCUAGGCCGGUGCCUCGAGGUCAACGAAGGCUCCAGGAAGAUGUGAGCUGGAGAAAAGUUAGAAAGACAUUUGACACAGAGGGCUGGAGGACACUUAAGACGUUUGAGACAGAGGGAGCAACUCGGGUGAAGGCAGGAAGGCCACAGUUGUGACGUCCUGCACAGGGAACAUGAUGAUCCUGGUGAGCCAGGAGGACAGUGGUGUCAGGAGAUAAGUGGAGAGGUCACAGAGAGCAAGUUCAUAGGGGACCUUCUAGGGACUGGGACUUUGAACUCGAGCUGAUGGGAAAGCACUGAAGAAUGGACCACGAGAGUAACGGGGUGAGUUUCCCAUUUGACACAAAUUCCCCAGUUGUUACAAGGAAGCAGGAAAAUGGAUGCGAGAGAUAAGACCAGGGCAAGAGGCCAAGAGAACAACCAGAGGGAGAAGCUGAGCUGCUGGUGGAGGGUGGGGAGGACAGCAUGGCCAAGGAUGGCUUCGGGUGCACAGUGGUCAGAGCUUGGGAGUGGACAUGAGGGCUGCCACCUUAGGAGCAGAGAAGUGGGACCAGUAGGCUCAUGGAGUUGCAGCUUUACCAGCCGCCCAUCCAACACUUGACUUUGAGAUUGAUUCUCAACAAAACAUGAAUUCUUCUUCACUGUUGGUGCUGUGAGCUGAAGUCCCAAGAAUAGGGCUGCAAACACAUGAUGGUGGGUGGGUGAGUGGACGGGGGUGGCUGCUUCCCCAGGAUGUCUGUGGAACCCUCACUCUGUCCAGCAGCUCUUGGCCACAGCUGCAGCUGCAGCCCAGGCAGAGACACAUCCCACCAUGCUGUUUGAGUGAAAGUAACUCAUUUCCCCUGACUGACAUCACCGAGCUGAUGGUUGAGAACAAUUUUCUUAAGAACCAUUCCUUUUUUGCAUAUGCAGGAGGAUCUGGAGGGCAGAGAGAAAAUUGCUUUAUGGCGAUUCAUAGACUCUUCAUCCAUUGAAAGUUUGCAUGGGCUCUAACACAUUACUUUUCUUGAGGCAAAACUAAUGUUUGAGAAAAGAGUUUGUGGGGCGCCUGGGCGAUGCAGUGGUUUAAGCAUUUGACUCUUGGUUUUGGCUCAUGCAUGGUCUCAGGGGCCUGGGAUGGAGCUCUGCGUUUGUUCCAUGCUCAGCCCAGAAUCUGCUUGGGUUUCUCUCUCCUUCUCCCUCUAUCCCUCCCCACCGACCUCCCACCCCCUCUCAUCUCACUCUCUCUCUCUGUCUUUAUCUUGAAUAAAUAAAUCUUUUAAAAAAAGAGUUUGCA